rnacentral:lncRNA from 1 species
UGAGCACCUACCAGCAAAGUGCUGGGUACACAGAAGGACUAUGUGACGAAGCGCCAUCACAUGGCUGGUAGCCUGUGGUGAGUCACCGGACUUCUCAACUCCCACCUCACUGGGGUGGAAGGAACAGUAACCACAAUGCUCCACAACUCGGGCUGCACCCGUAUGAUUGGAAACAAUCUGUGAAAUUGUGGAGUGAACGACCCCGAAGAAACAGACUUCUAAUUCUAGCCUUUUGGAGAUUAUUAACCCAACUCCCAGAUUUUAGAGAUGAGGAAAGGGAGGCCCAGGGAGGUGAGGAUACAUGUCCAGGAUCACAGAGGUGAAAAGUGAGUUUGCUUGGCUAAGUUCAACUGUACCUACUUGUCUCCAGAGACUGCUCAGGAACUAGAACACCCUGAUACAACAUAGGCACCUGUGAUGGAGAUAUUC